GACGAACGCUGGCGGCGUGCCUAAUACAUGCAAGUCGAACGCAGUGGGGACGGGUGAGUAACACGUGGGUAACCUCCCAUCAGAGGGGAUAACCCUUGGAAACAGGUGCUAAACCGAUACUGAUGGAUGGACUCGCGGUGCAUUAGCGAGUGGGUGAGGUAACGGCUCACCAAGGCCACGAUUCAUAGCCGACCUGAUAGGGUGAUCGGCCAAAUUGGGACUGAGACACGGCCCAGACUCCGACGGGAGGCAGCAGUGGGGAAGCGUCGGCAAUGGACGAAAGUCUGACCGAGCAACGCCGCGUGAGUGAAGAAGGUUUUCGGUUCGUAAAACUCUGUUGUUAGAGAAGCGGUAUCUAACCAGAAAGCCACGGCUAACUACGUGCCAGCAGCCGCGGUAAUAC
rnacentral:rRNA from 1 species